UCUUCAUCAGCUCGAAUGCAAAGUACUCCCGGGAGUGAGGUGUUACUCCCUUGUAACGCCUCGGGGCUCGAUGACAUCACCUGGACCUUCAACCACCACCAGACCAUCCUCAGAAGACAAGCAGGACAAGAGAAGGUGGUUGAAACAGAGUGGCAGCAGCAUGUAAGAAACCUGUCUGAAUCAGGCAGCCUCCUGCUGUAUGUGACCUCAUCAGCCCAGAGUGAAGGGACGUACAGGUGUACUCGAAGGAACGCAGACGAAGAAGACGUAGCCAACAUUGAACUGAAGAUACCGUACGACCCUGAGGCUCAUGGGGGAUCCAAAAUAACACUAUGGAUCAUAGUUGGAGUCUUCCUUGCAGUUAUCCUUAUAGCUAACAUAUGUUUUUUUUCAAGAAAGCUGCUGAAAAAAAACCCUUCUCCUUCUGAUGGAGAAGGGACAUCUGGUACCCAGUCUACACCUCUCCUCUCUACAGAGCUUCCUGCAGAUCUACCAACAUCCAUCACUCCAGCUCCCUCCAGUGAAACACAGCCUGCAGAUCUACCAACAUCCAUCACUCCAGCUCCCUCCAGUGAAACACAGCCUGCAGAUCUACCAACAUCCAUCACUCCAGCUCCCUCCAGUGAAACACAGCCUGCAGAUCUACCAACAUCCAUCACUCCAGCUCCCUCCAGUGAAACACAGCCUGCAGAUCUACCAACAUCCAUCACUCCAGCUCCCUCCAGUGAAACACAGCCUGCAGA